ensembl:lncRNA
UAAGUAUUACUUAAUUUAUGGCACAUUUUAUAACAUUGAUUUUUUUUUUCUUUUUUUUUUUAACUUGUGAUUUAAUCUUCCAUUGUUAUUAGUUUGUAGUUAAGUUAUGCGUUUGGAGGUAGAAAGGAAAUUUAUCUGCAUGACAGUGCCAUCAUUUUUAUGAAGAAAAAAAUCAGUUUUAGCUAAAUAAAGAUGAAAUGAAGAAACACGUUUGUGGAGAUAAAUGGAAGGAAAAAAUUUAAUGGAAAUAAAUAAAUACUAUAUAAUUGAUAUUAUGGGAAACAAUAUGGUGACAAAUAUGUCGCUCUUUUUUUCAUUAAUUGAGUUGUACAACUUUUUACUUUUUUAAUCUUUAUAAUUUGAUCUUUAUUCAUUGCCUUGUUGUACAUGAAUUUUGACAGCUUCAGUCCUCCGUACUAACAGUGUCUUAACUGCUGUUCUGGGGACAUUUUGCUAUUUCAAAUUUGGUGGGUUUUGUGUUUUUUAAAAAUGUGAUGAAGCUCUUGGAAUACAUUCAACAUAAAGUUAAAACAUUUGGAUUGAAAUAAAGCAGGAAAUCAAAUUCUCAUUUUAUUUUGUUCUAUUUUGAAAUGCUGUCACUUGAAACCAGUGUGCCAAACUGAUGCAUUCUCUUUGUAGAGCAUCUGUCAUAUAUAUGAAUGUGCAGCAUGGCUUCAGUUCAGGUAAAAGGACCUUUGCAUAGAAGGGCACGUUAUUCCUCCAAAUCUCUCUGUGGAAGCCUCCAGAAAAAAAACCUCAAUUUGUAUAAAUUGCAUAAAAUAGGCGCAGGAAUUGCUGCCACAAUGUCUCCUAUUAUAGCCAAAAUCGGCAGUUAAAGUGGACCUUUUCUUAUUUCCAACUUCAUAUUUUUUAUUCUUGGACUCCUCUGUAGCAGCUUUGCAUGAUUUACAGUUCAAAGUAGUUCUUCUUUAUCUUACACUGGGCCAGUUUUAACUCCUCUCCCUUUAAGGCCCUCAUUAGCAACAGAUUUGAAAAAGCAGGUAGGUGGUUCUUCUAUGUCCCCAAAUUUGGAUGUACCCUCUUUAUGAUGUCAUACAGUUGCAAACUUAAAAAACAAAACUGUCUGAAACUGAGUGUUCUGAGCAGUCUUAAGAUUUUCAGAGAACGGGGAUUAUCUCUUUAUUUGAAAGUUUCAUCAUGCUUGGUAUGAAAUACAGGAAAGCAGAAUAGAGUUUAUAACAUCCUAAAUGUCAACCUGUUCAAAGUGAUUAUUAUUAUUUUUUAUUUUUAUUUUUUUAGGCAUGCAAAUUUGUGUGAACAGCUAAAAAUAUAAGCUUUUGUUUGUUUGUUUUCUCAUCCAGCUACUGACACAUUUCUGUCAUAUUUAACAGGAUUACUUUCUUCCAGGGUUCCAGUCAGCAGCUUGACCUCUCCUCUUCCUCUUAUCUGCGUUUUCCUAAUUUCAUUACACUCGGUAAUCUUCCAGCUUCUCCUGCUUUCUGAGCAUCAUUUAUUUUAAUGUUCGGAGUGCUGGUAGCUGCUUACAGGAGCUUGUGCCUGCUGAUGGUUGGGAACGAGUUCAUGAACUUUUGAAAAUGGCAUCACCCCAUCCUUUCAUUAGGUCUCUAAAGAUGCUCAUUGAGGUUUGAAACAUUAGUAAAAGUUAAAUAGAGGUCAAGUCUUUUGCAAGGUGUCGUUUUCAUUGUCCAGAAAGAUUUGUUAUAAUUUCAGUUUCAGACAUCAGUUUGUCUUCUUGCUGAACUGAACCACAGUAAGAGAAGUUUUCACCAGAUUACUGCAUCCCACUGCAUCUUUCUUUCUUUUUUUUAAUGAGCUUGCUUCUCUGGCUCCCAAGGUGACACUCACUCUGAUUGAUCUCUGGAAACAUCCUUUGUGCAGCUGCCAAAACCCGAGCUGCUUUUACCCCUAAAAACAGACUAGAGGCUUCAAGAUGUCGCAGUAAUUUAAAGUCUUAAAAUCAGCCAUUUUACUGGUACUUACUGUAAAUUCAAGUGUUAAAAGUUAUCAGCAUUUGCAGAAACUUUGAUUUUAUCUGUAUUGUGCUGAAGAAAUAUGAAGUGAAGCUGAACUGUGGCCUGGCUGUACUUUCAUGUACGUACCAAAAGAGGGAGCAGCGAGUUAGUGUAACCUUGCAUUUAAUCAAUAAAAAGCACAUUCCUAUUUACAGUGGCAGCCAAGGAAAAGGCUGGUAAACUGCUGCCCCCUGGUGGUGAAAGUUUUAGUCGUAUUUCCCAGAACAAACACAAAAACCUUUAAACGACACACAUCCUUGAUCUCUUUUUUUGCUGUUAAGUGACAGCCAAAGAAACAAUAUCAGAGACAGCUGAUUGUUUUUAUUCAUAAUCAUCUUCUGUACAAACUUGUGAUGUUUAACAGUGUUUACCUGGUGAUAUGAAAUGUUCUUACUGCAGUCUAUAAGUGCUUUACAGUUCAGUGGUUCCACUUGUCUUGCUUCUGCCUACAGUGACUUUAAUACCUGUAACCUCCUGCUAGCUGGUCCUCGUUGUGCAGAACUAGUUAGUCCUCUAACACAUGCUCAUACAUCAGGCAGUUGGAAACGCCUUGUUUUGUUUAUUCACGUUUUCUGAAGAGGCUCUGGCGUGGACGAGUAUUUAAUCCUCAGGUUUCUGUGUCGGUGUGUCAAAAUCAGUCGCUUUGAUGUUUUUUAUAUCUCUCACAUUUUUAUCUGAUGUGACUGUAAAUGAGCAAACUGUGCAAUUUUUUUUGGCACUGUUGUUGUUGG